UCGUGUCGUGAGAUGGUUAGGUUACGUCCCGUAACGAGCGCAACCCCUAUUGCUAGUUACCAUCAUUAAGUUGGGGACUCUAGCGAGACUGCCAGUGAUAAACUGGAGGAAGGUGGGGAUGACGUCAAAUCAUCAUGCCCCUUAUGACCUGGGCUACAAACGUGAUACAAUGGCUGGAACAAAGGGAUGCGAAGCAGUGAUGUGGAGCGAAACCCAUAAAAACAGUCUCAGUUCGGAUUGAAGUCUGCAACUCGACUUCAUGAAGUCGGAAUCGCUAGUAAUCGCGGAUCAGAACGCCGCGGUGAAUACGUUCUCGGGGUUU
rnacentral:rRNA from 1 species